rnacentral:rRNA from 1 species
GUUAGCCACACCACCCUGAAAGUGCCCCCGUCUUGUCUGAUCCUGGAAGUGAAGCACAGCUGGUCUGGUUAGUAAUUGGAUGGGAGACAUCAUCCCUACACACAAUGUGUACAUACCC